UGGGGAAUUUUGGACAAUGGGCGAAAGCCUGAUCCAGCAAUGCCGCGUGUGUGAAGAAGGCCUUCGGGUUGUAAAGCACUUUUGUCCGGAAAGAAAUCCUUGGCUCUAAUACAGUCGGGGGAUGACGGUACCGGAAGAAUAAGCACCGGCUAACUACGUGCCAGCAGCCGCGGUAAUACGUAGGGUGCAAGCGUUAAUCGGAAUUACUGGGCGUAAAGCGUGCGCAGGCGGUUUGCUAAGACCGAUGUGAAAUCCCCGGGCUCAACCUGGGAACUGCAUUGGUGACUGGCAGGCUAGAGUAUGGCAGGGAGGGGGGUAGAAUUCCACGUGUAGCAAGUGAAAUGCGUAGAGAUGUGGAGGAAUACCCGAUGGCGAAGGCAGCCCCUGGGCCAAUACUGACGCUGCAUGCAACGAAAGUCGUCGGGGGAGCAAACAGGAUUCCAGAAUACCCUAGGUAGUCCACGCCCUAAAGCGUAUUGUCAACUAGUUGUUGGGGAUUCAUUCCUUAGUAACGGUAGCUAACGCGUGAA
rnacentral:rRNA from 1 species